UACGUAGGGUGCGAGCGUUGUCCGGAAUUAUUGGGCGUAAAGAGCUUGUAGGCGGUCUGUCGCGUCUGCUGUGAAAAUCCGGGGCUCAACCCCGGACUUGCAGUGGGUACGGGCAGACUAGAGUGUGGUAGGGGAGACUGGAAUUCCUGGUGUAGCGGUGAAAUGCGUAGAUAUCUGGAGGAACACCGGUGGCGAAGGCGGCAUCCUGGACCAACACUGACGCUGAGGAGCGAAAGCCAGGGGAGCAAACGGG
rnacentral:rRNA from 1 species